GGGAGCUAUACAGCAGUGUCGGAGCCGCCCGGCGGAGGGAGGCGAGUAGGGACAUUGCGUUGGAU
rnacentral:SRP_RNA from 12 species